CAUGUAGGCGGAUUAAUAAGUUUGAAGUGAAAUCCUAUAGCUUAACUAUAGAACUGCUUUGAAAACUGUUAAUCUAGAAUGUGGGAGAGGUAGAUGGAAUUUCUGGUGUAGGGGUAAAAUCCGUAGAGAUCAGAAGGAAUACCGAUUGCGAAGGCGAUCUACUGGAACAUUAUUGACGCUGAGAUGCGGAAGCGUGGGGAGCAAACA
rnacentral:rRNA from 1 species